rnacentral:lncRNA from 1 species
GCACUGAAGGAAAUAAGGGUGGGGGGGGGGGACAUGGCGGUCCCCGGAGCAUUUUGAGGGGACAUCAUGUGUGUGAUUUGCUCUUUCCUUCUAGAAAUCACGAUGAAUUGGAACACACUCUUUGGAGCUUGACUGAAGACAAAAGGCGCCUGGCAGAUGUGGGUUGGAUGGUUAAAUUGGGCUCCAGGAGAGAAUGGGAGAGGAAUCUUCUGUGUCUCCAAGCAAAGAUGUGAAGAAGACAGAAGCUGUUUUGGUCAUAAGGGAGGUCCCAUUUAGUUUUGCAAUACUGAAGAAUUGCACAGAGUGACUAAAAUUAUUACAAAUUGCAGAAGAGGCCUGGACAUGCCCCGCCCUCUCAACCUCCCCUCCUCCAGGGUGACUGCUUCACCUAUGUCCCGCCCGUGCAGAGCACAAGCUCGGCUUUGGAGUGGCGCUUGGCUGGCAGACUGUAAUCAGGGUUACAUUUUAAAAGAAUUAUUUCCACAUUUUGAUAAGAAGCUGCUAAAGUAAAAGGGUGAGUUGUAAUUGUAAAUUUUUAUCUCUCUGGCUGUUGAGCUCUAUGGAAUCUUACAUAGAACUAUGAACAAAUAUUUCCAUUGUA